GCCAAGCACCUCCCCUGGCUCCGUUGCACCUUUUCCCCCCUCUUCUCAGAUCCAUCAGAGAGAAAAAAAAGUUCGUUUUUUUCCACUUUAAAUAACAACUUCCUUUGGGGAGGGCGGGAUGCUUGGGGCGCGAGGGUGAUGAUUUUGAUUGAAGAGGGUAUAUGGGGGGGGGGGGCGUGGUGUAUGUGUUGGUGUGAACCCUUCAGAUCUUUGCCUAGACAUGGGAGGGCGGGAGACAGAGGAACAAAAGUGGUUUUGUUUGGUGAUGCCUACCGGGAAAGGCAGCGAGCUGUUUGCUUGUUUACAACCAAGGUGAGAGUAAAGUUAUCUACUGAGAGUCCAAAGGGGAGGGGGAGUUGGUUUCUAAGCCAGGGAUCUAUUUGUGGACUUCAAAGAGGCAUGCUCGGAUCAAGUCCCAAAGCUUUGGCAUGAUGUUUAUUAGCCAAGAGAAGUGUAUUGCAAAUUAAUACCCGGAGUGGCAUUUAUGAAUGGGGGGGGGGAGGGAAGCUUCCCUCUUCGCUGGCAUAUUUCCAGCCAGAGGUCUUCCCUCAUCCCUCCCCCUUUUUUUUGGUAUGUUGUACUUGUUUGUUUUUGGAGGUUCCCAGUUUUAGUUCCAGCCCACUGCCUGCAUUGGAAAUCCAAGAGGAAACGAGUGCAGAGUUCUCCCGGAGCCUGACGUCCACUUCCUCACGGAUGCCGGAGGCCGGGUCAACCCUCCUGGCCUCUCUCCCUGGACUGGCGGCGGUGGAAACUGAGCAGCCAAAGCAGAAGCGGAGGAGACCACCGUGGAGUGACUUGUCCUGAAAUCACCAGCUUCGCGAUCUUGCUUAAGAGAGCCUCCUGCGUUGCCUGUUCUAUGAAUGACUCCAGUGAGAAGGAGAGGCUGUUGCGCACACUCCAGUGAAGACAGCUGUUACUGGAAAGAGUUAAGUUCAUUCAUUCAAAAGCGCCCUUUCGUAAGUCCUGGAGGAAUUUGCUAGAGGCGGUAGGUUCUCCAAGGCUUUCUGGGGGUGGGGACUUUUAAAGACAAUGGGUUGUCAAGUGUUAUGCAAAUAAUGAAAGCAAAGCCUAGGCCUGGUCCCCUCGGCUGGCCGAUUUAUUAGAGAACAGUUCCUCCUGCGCACAGUUCAUUGUUUCCAUCUUAGGGAAGCUCGGGAGGGUAGGGGGUGAGGGUGGAGAAGGCAAGGAACAGGGUAGAAGGAGGCGCUGGAGAAACAGAAUGGAGAGGAGGGUUCCUGGCUUCUGUUGUGGCGUCUUUUCUAUUUGACUUCAUGGUUGUAAGUAUUUCCAGAUGGUGAAUCAGACACCAGACGUAACAAUAUUUCCAUAUUUGGGUAUAGCAGUAGCCUGCGUUUUUAACAUUUUUCUCCCUCUGUUAUCCAACCACAAGGCAUUCUUGACAGCUUCAAAUGUUGUUAAAUAUAGACUUAACUUCUGUUCCCAGAGCAGGAAAUUCGUUGGAAUUCCUUGUUUUUCACGCAAUCUGUCUAUCAUGAUUUAAAAUAAAGUUGCAGUGGAUGAUCCAACUGGCCUGAAUAUGCUGUGUUCCUUUGCUGAGGGGAGUUGGAGGGUGAGGGGGGGAAGCCUAGAGGUCCGGUAUACGGCACAGCGUUCAAACAGACACGCCAUUCCAUAGAUGCCUUUAAAAAUCAGAUUAAAGUUUUCUAACGAGGAUGUGUGGGGUUUUGUUUCUGGACUCCAACUGGGCAAUCUCGGAGAAUGGGAUUGUCCCAGAGGAGACGCGGGGAGAACAUUAGCGUCAGCUGUCCAUUUAAAGCAGCGGGUGUGUGGUGAGAAGAGGAGGGGUGCUGGAGUCGUCAAGGCCAGGAGGUGCUGGAGGAGGAGAGGCUGCGGGAACCUCUGUGCAUCGCCUCUGCAGACAGCAUGCUGGGAACCAGGAGAAACAGCGGCUGCUUAAGUCCUUGCCUAGGAUGGUCCAGCAACUCCAGACGUGCUGUCGCCUUCUCACCUCCUCUGCUGAGAGCUACAGAUCCUUCGUUGACAGACAGGGAGGGAAAUGUGCAAAUGGAGUGGACACGAGCAAUUUGUCCUCUGAGAGGCUCCAUCCAGCAGCUGACUCAGACAGAUGCAGACAUCCACAGCCAGAGGAUGGAGCUUGGGGACUCCUAUGGAAGAAUAGGAGGAAGAAUUGUGGGCUCCGAAGGGGAUAGGAACUCCACAGGAAGACCAACAGAGUCAACUAACCUUUACCCUUGGGAUUUCAGCGUCUGAACCACCAACCAAAGAACAUACACAGGCUGGACCUAGGCUUCCCCACAUAUAUGUACAGUUGGACCUCCACGUGGGUCCUCAACAACUAGACCGAGGGCUAUCCCAAAAGCUUUUGCCUGUACAUGGGAUAUGUUCUACCAGUGGGGCUGCCUUGUGUGACCUCAGUGGGAGAGGAAGUGCCUAGCCUCAAAGAGACUUGAAGUGCCAAGGUAGGAGGGAUAUCUAAGGGGGCCCAUACCCAUUCAGAGGAGUCAGGGAGGGGAAGGGUUGUGGGAGGGGGUGACUGGGAAGGGGCAGUGAGCAGGAUGUAAAGUAAAUAAGUAAAAACACUAAAUUAAAAUAAUUUUAAAAAAAGUCUCUUUGCUUUAGCAUUUUAGUUGUGGUGUAGUUUAUAAAUCCCUGAAGAGCACAGAGAUUGAAGAAAGACUUCUCCCAGAGGCAGACUUCUAAUGUCUCAAUGAGGAGACACACACGAUUGUGAUCUUGAAUAUUGUACAGUUUGCUGUCAGUUCUGUUAAAAAAAAAAUGUGAUAUUUGCCUGGAGGAAAUUCCUAGACAUUUGAAUGCCACACAA